rnacentral:rRNA from 1 species
GACGAACGCUGGCGGCGUGCCUAAUACAUGCAAGUUGAGCGCUGAAGGUUGGUACUUGUACCAACUGGAUGAGCAGCGAACGGGUGAGUAACGCGUGGGGAAUCUGCCUUUGAGCGGGGGACAACAUUUGGAAACGAAUGCUAAUACCGCAUAAAAACUUUAAACACAAGUUUUAAGUUUGAAAGAUGCCAUUGCAUCACUCAAAGAUGAUCCCGCGUUGUAUUAGCUAGUUGGUGAGGUAAAGGCUCACCAAGGCGAUGAUACAUAGCCGACCUGAGAGGGUGAUCGGCCACAUUGGGACGGAGACACGGCCCAAACUCCUACGGGAGGCAGCAGUAGGGAAUCGUCGGCAAGGGACGAAAGUCUGACCGAGCAACGCCGCGUGAGGGAAGAAGGUUUUCGGAUCGUAAAACUCGGUUGGUAGAGAAGAACGUUGGUGAGAGUGGAAAGCUCAUCAAGUGACGGUAACUACCCAGAAAGGGACGGCUAACUACGUG